rnacentral:rRNA from 1 species
UGUUGUCCCCCCCCCCCCCUCGGUUAGACUUUAMGGKKRWGKGRAGAAGUAUUGAGUUUAAUUAGAUGARGUAUAGUUUAUAAAAUAAUUAAGAGAGAAAAAAGUGAAAUUAGAAUUCUUUUUUUAAUAAUAUUAUAGUAAACUUGAGUCGAAGUUAGUAAGUAUUAGGUUUAAACUAGGAUUAGAUACCCUAUUAUACUAAUAAAAUGUAUAUUACUCAGAUUAUUAGAAGUUAUGUUCUUGAAAUUCGAAGAAUUUGGCGGUGAUUUAGUCUUGUUAGAGGAACCUGUUUUUGAAUCGAUACACCACGUAAAAUCUUACUCAUUUUAGUAAUAAAGUUUAUAUACCGUCAUUAUCAGAUGAUUUUCUAAGAAUAAAUUAUUAAGUUUUAUAUCAAAAAAGUUAAAUUAGAUCAAGGUGUAGCUAAUAAAUGAGUUAAAAUGGGUUACAAUAAAAUUUAUUUAAUACGAAAUAAUUAAAGAAAGAAGAAUUAUGAAGGAGGAUUUAAUUGUAAUUAAAGUAUAAUAAGCUUUAAAGAUAUAAGCUCUAAAUCAUGUACAUAUCGCCCGUCGCUUUYMYUUUWUAGAUGAGAUAAGUCGACAAAAAAAGGAAAAAAA